rnacentral:rRNA from 1 species
AACGAACGCUGGCGGCAGGCUUAACACAUGCAAGUCGAACGGGUGUAGCAAUACAUCAGUGGCAGACGGGUGAGUAACACGUGGGAACCUUCCUAGGGGUACGGAACAACUCAGGGAAACUUGAGCUAAUACCGUAUACGUCCGUGAGGAGAAAGAUUUAUCGCCCUUAGACGGGCCCGCGUCGGAUUAGGUAGUUGGUGGGGUAACGGCCUACCAAGCCUACGAUCCGUAGCUGAUCUGAGAGGAUGAUCAGCCACACUGGGACUGAGACACGGCCCAGACUCUUACGGGAGGCAGCAGUGGGGAAUCUUGGACAAUGGGCGAAAGCCUGAUCCAGCCAUGCCGCGUGAGUGAAGAAGGCCUUAGGGUUGUAAAGCUCUUUUGCCAGGGACGAUAAUGACGGUACCUGGAGAAUAAGCCCCGGCAAACUUCGUGCCAGCCGCCGCGGUAAAAC